CAUGCAGUCGACGAUGAUGCCCACUUGUGGGUGGAUUAGUGGCGAACGGGUGAGUAACACGUGAGUAACCUGCCCUUGACUCUGGGAUAAGCCUGGGAAACUGGGUCUAAUACCGGAUAUGACCUUCCAUCGCAUGGUGGUUGGUGGAAAGCUUUUGUGGUUUUGGAUGGACUCGCGGCCUAUCAGCUUGUUGGUGGGGUAAUGGCCUACCAAGGCGACGACGGGUAGCCGGCCUGAGAGGGUGACCGGCCACACUGGGACUGAGACACGGCCCAGACUCCUACGGGAGGCAGCAGUGGGGAAUAUUGCACAAUGGGCGCAAGCCUGAUGCAGCGACGCCGCGUGAGGGAUGACGGCCUUCGGGUUGUAAACCUCUUUCAGUAGGGAAGAAGCGAAAGUGACGGUACCUGCAGAAGAAGCGCCGGCUAACUACGUGCCAGCAGCCGCGGUAAUACGUAGGGCGCAAGCGUUAUCCGGAAUUAUUGGGCGUAAAGAGCUCGUAGGCGGUUUGUCGCGUCUGCCGUGAAAGUCCGGGGCUCAACUCCGGAUCUGCGGUGGGUACGGGCAGACUAGAGUGAUGUAGGGGAGACUGGAAUUCCUGGUGUAGCGGUGAAAUGCGCAGAUAUCAGGAGGAACACCGAUGGCGAAGGCAGGUCUCUGGGCAUUAACUGACGCUGAGGAGCGAAAGCAUGGGGAGCGAACAGGAUUAGAUACCCUGGUAGUCCAUGCCGUAAACGUUGGGCAC
rnacentral:rRNA from 1 species